rnacentral:rRNA from 1 species
AUUGAACGCUGGCGGAAUGCUUUACACAUGCAAGUCGAGCGGCAGCACGGGGGCAACCCUGGUGGCGAGCGGCGAACGGGUGAGUAAUACAUCGGAACAUGCCCAGUCGUGGGGGAUAACACUUCGAAAGAAGUGCUAAUACCGCAUACGUCCUGAGGGAGAAAGCGGGGGAUCUUCGGACCUCGCGCGAUUGGAGUGGCCGAUGUCAGAUUAGCUAGUUGGUGGGGUAAAGGCCUACCAAGGCAACGAUCUGUAGCUGGUCUGAGAGGAUGGACAGCCAAACUGGGACUGAGACACGGCCCAGACUCCUACGGGAGGCAGCAGUGGGGAAUUUUGGACAAUGGGGGCAACCCUGAUCCAGCCAUUCCGCGUGAGUGAAGAAGGCCUUCGGGUUGUAAAGCUCUUUCGGCAGGAACGAAACGGCGAGCUCUAACAUAGCUUGCUAAUGACGGUACCUGAAGAAGAAGCACCGGCUAACUACGUGCCAGCCGCCGCCGUAAGAC